CGACGCACCCGCCAGAGUGGCCCUCCGCUUCCUGCGGCCUUCGUAGGAUCCUGAGCCCUCGGGGCUGCUGGUGUCAGUGGGCACCCGGCGCCCCGGCGCUGGCGCAGUGCCGUGUUUGGAUGAAUUCUGACGUUUGACCCCAGGGUCUUUGAUCCCACCUGUCCCUCCCUGAAGACGCAGAUGGAUGCCCCUUGGACUCGCCACAGCCCCAGAGGGCCCAGGGCUCAGGACCAGUGGGUCUCACUGCCAGCCAGCGCCGGUGCUCCCAGCCAGCAACCCCACUCUACAGACGGGGGGGCCAGAAGAGCAGCCCGCUCCCCGCUGCCAGACGACCCCCACCCCCACCCCGCAGGCCUCUCCCUUCACCAGGCUCCGCGCCUCCCAGCCCCGAGACGGUUGCAUGGGAAGAAUGUCCAAGACUUUGGGGAAAAACAGAGGCCGUGCCAAGAGUCAAGGACUGGCCGUCUCCUCUGACAGGUCAGCAAUUUAACAUCCUUCAGAAAUACUGACCUCACACCAUCCAACUUAGGGACUGCACUUCUAGGAAUUUACCCUCCUUGUGCCCUGGGGCCAUGUGUCUAAGCCGUAUGUCUCCCCGGCAGGACCUGUUACCACCGUCCACACCCCCAGGUCGGGGGACCCUAAGAAAAAUCAAGGGGUGUCCCACCCUGAGGACUCCACACAAGGAGGCGGGUCUAUAUUUCUUAAUUCCAUGGAAGUGUUUUCCCCGGCUGGGAACUCCAGGCUGGGUGUGACCCCGUGACCACGGUAGUCGGGCCUCACCCCGCUCAUCCAGAGACAAGGGAAGGAUGUCCCAGGAGAUCCACAGGAGAAAAAGCUGGUGCCAACCGCACAUGAGAGGAUCCACUGUAGCAGCUGAAAUCAAUCACCGGCUGCUCUUCAUGUCAUCCUGUUGGGGAAAUGCCCUGUUUCCCACCAGCACGUCGUCAGGGCCAACUGUGACUCCAGAGCCCUGCGCUCCCCCAGCCAAGAAGCGGACACUCCCUCCCUCCCUGAUGAACCCCAAGCAGAGAGUGGAAACAGCUGGAUCCGCUCAUUCCGGCAGCGAUUCUGACCUACGUCUUCCUGCCCCAGAGCCGUCCCUGCACCUCUCUGCCCCUUCCAGGGAGCCUCUGCUUCCAGGCCUGGUCCUCCUGCCUCCUCCUCAGAUCUGCGGCCCCAGUUCCCUGAUGCACCUCCUCGCCCCUCCCAUGGUGCAGUCCAUCCCCACCCUCCAGCCCGCGCGGCCUUCCUGAAGCUCAGAUCCCACGAUGUCACUGCCCCGCUCUCAGCCCUCCAGCAGCCCCCACCCGCCCAGACUCCAGAG
rnacentral:lncRNA from 12 species